rnacentral:sRNA from 1 species
CCGUGCCCCUGCUCGCGCUGCAGCCCGUGGAAGGGUUCCGUCCAGCGUAUCCUUCAGAUCUUGCUGUAGGCCUCUGGUGUCUGUGCGCGCGCGGCAGGGGCGGCGGCGGCGACGGCCGGAGGUGUACGGUCAGCGGGUUGCGGAGGAUCGUGCGGGUCGCAAAGGGAAGCCGAGUGCUCCUGCGGCUCCCAGACUGCAACCAGGUGUAAAUCCAAACCGCUUCCAACUCAAGGCAAGUAACAGCCCACGGUGUUCUGGCAGGAAAACAUCAGCUAAGAAAGGAAACUGGGUCCUAUGGCUUGGACUUUCCAACUCUGACAGACCGGCAGGACAGAAACAACUGAUUCAGGAGCCCUUGCCAGCCUCUAGAGAAAUCCCAGAACACUCAGCCCUGAUGACACAUUAAUACCCUGCACAUAUUGGAGACUGCUGGCCAUGCAUACUCACCAAGCCACAGACUUGUCUUCCACAAGCACGUUCUUACCUCAGCCACAAAGUGGCCAAGCCACAUGUACUAAAGGUUGAAAUCAGAGACAUGUACAGGGUAUUAAACAGAUACCAAGGGGAACAGUUAACUUGAAUAUAGCUUGAAUAGAAAGUCAAAAUCAGCAACAAGUCUACAAUCCAGUGCUGAUAUCAGAUACAAGCUUCAAGGACAACUUUCUGUGUAUGUUUUUUUUUUUUUUUUUUUUUUUUUUUUUGAGACGGAGUCUCGCCCUGUUGCCCAGGCUGGAGUGCAGUGGUGCAAUCUCGGCUCACCACAACCUCUGCCUCCCAGGUUCAAGUGAUUCUCCUGCCUCAGCCUCCCCAGUAGCUGGGAUUAUAGGCGAAUGCCACCAUGCCUGGCUAAUUUUUGUAUUUUUAGUAGAGACGGGGUUUCAGCAUGUUGGCCAGGCCGGUCUCAAACUCCUGACCUUGUGAUCCACCCGUCUCGGCCUCCCAAAGUGCUGGGAUUAUAGGCGUCAGCCACCACGCCUGGCCACAAAUUUCUUUUUGAAGGCUUAUUCCGGUUUUGUGAGGCUAGCAUGAGGUGUAUGCAUUUGCCAGGGGCAAAUUUAUACUGCUGAAUUAACCC